rnacentral:rRNA from 1 species
GACAGAGGGUGCAAACGUUGUUCGGAAUUACUGGGCGUAAAGCGCGUGUAGGCGGCUUUGCAAGUCGGGCGUGAAAUCCCACGGCUCAACCGUGGAAGUGCACUCGAAACUGCAGAGCUAGAGUCCUGGAGAGGAAGGUGGAAUGCUUGGUGUAGAGGUGAAAUUCGUAGAUAUCAAGCGGAACACCGGUGGCGAAGGCGGCCUUCUGGACAGUGACGUGACGCUGAGACGCGAAAGCGUGGGUAGCAAAC